AACCAUAGAAACCUGCGGAGUACCUGCGGAAGGAUCAUUAAAAAGCUUUGCCCGCGGACCCUGGGUCCAAGGCGCAAAACCCACACUAUGUGCACUGUUAUCGUUCUUUUGGCAGGGGCUUGGGGUGUCUUCCAACUUGGGGAACCUCAACUUCUCGUCUAGCUCUAUCCACCUCGGACAGCUGGACAUGAGAAGCAGUUACUCUGCCAAGUGACCCUUAAAAACACGCUUUUUGUCUGA
rnacentral:misc_RNA from 1 species